AGCCUCUCAAUGGCCAAUACAUAGGAUCAACAAUCCAGGGUUUAUUUACAUCAUCGGUCUGACCACAAGACAGAGACUAUUAUGGUGACACACCGAAUGCGUUUGAUGGAUUGAGGGGAAAGAGCAGGAGUAAAUCUAAGCUAUUUCUAUGUCUGCAAAGAUUAUCCAACUUGAAUAAACGCUUGCAGGACCUGAGCCCUAGGACCAUGCCUCAGGACGACCCGGCAUGAUGACUCCUUGCUGUCCCCAGUCCACCUGGCCGUGUUGCUGAUCCAGUUUCAACUGUUCUGCCUGUGGCUAUGGAACCCUGACCUGUUCACUGGACGUGCUACCUGUCCCUGACCUGUUUUCAACUCUCUAGAGACCGCAGGAGCGGUAGAGAUACUCUUAAUGAUCGGCUAUGAAAAGCCAACUGACAUUUACUCCUGAGGUGCUGGCUUGCUGCAUCCUCAACAACUACUGUGAUUAUUAUUAUUUGACCAUGCUGGUCAUUUAUGAACAUUUGAACAUCUUGGCCAUGUUCUGUUAUAAUCUCCACCCGGCACAGCCAGAAGAGGACUGGCCACCCCUCAUUGCCUGGUUCCUCUCUAGGUUUCUUCCUAGGUUUUGGCCUUUCUAGGGAGUUUUUCCUAGCCACCAUGCUUCUACACCUGCAUUGCUUGCUGUUAGGGGUUUUAGGCUGAGUUUCUGUACAGCACUUUGCGAUAUCAGCUGAUGUACGAAGGGCUAUAUAAAUAAAUUUGAUUUGAUUUGUGACGGCAACAUGUGCGUCCGGCAAUAA